rnacentral:miRNA from 1 species
GAGAGGAGGAUGGAGUAUAAAGAGGUGGAGGGAGUAUUAAAGAGGGUAAGGGAAGGAGGAUGAGAAUGCUGUUACAUUAUUAUAUUUAUACUCCCUCCACCUCUUUAUACUUCAUCCUUCUCUCUU